rnacentral:misc_RNA from 1 species
GUGAAUCAUCAAAUCUUUGAACGCAAAUUGCACUUUCUGGUAUUCCGGAAAGUAUGCCUGUUUGAGGGUCAGUUAAAUAAAAAUCGGUGUUAUAGUUGUUAAUGGUGAUGCAUCGGAAUUGAGUCGCUUUUACCUUUUGUUUUAAGUGACUUAAAAUUAUGUACGAUUUUUGAACGUAUUUAAAUUAUUUACUUCAGUUCGUAAUAUCACAUAUUCGUUGCGGUCUUCUACAUGUUUCCGCGUCUAUAAUU